rnacentral:lncRNA from 1 species
ACUUUUCUCUGUUUUCCUGUAGAAACUUCCGUAUCCUCUUCCUGUGUCCCUACAAAGUUUUGUACAAUGCAGAACAAGAAAUGCUACAGGGAUUGUGCUCCACCUUUCUCCUUCCUGCUGGGAUAUCCUUUCUGUAGAGAAAUGUAAAAAACCUGAGGACGAAUGGGUGUGCCCAGUAAGUGUGACAGCAAGGCAAGAAAUUAGAAACAGUCCUGUGGAUGAGGAGGCUGAAAGAGAAGACUGGGAAGAGAUGCCAGGACUGAAAAUUCUACAUCUCCAUGGCAUGUUGAAGGACAGGGAAAGACAAGGAAUUGCGCUGACCCCCUGUUGCAACAGCGAAAAUAUUCAGCCGGAUGGUGAGAUAAAUUACUCCCACAAUCAAGCAGAAGAGCCCCAGUGCUUCUCCUGGCCUGGGGCAGCUGAAUGCAGAGUCCUCCUGCGACCUCGGACCAGACAGAAAGGUCUAGCUGACCCACCUGGAAGGAGACACAGCUGGAUGAAGUUCCCACAGGAGGACUUGUGAUGUAUGAAAACCGAAAACCCGAAUUUUUAAAUGCAAAGCUAAAAGGAGCUCGGUGCUUUCUCCACAAGGUCAGGAAGAAAAGCUUCCAACUUGUCAGUCACGUGUUUUCACUCUGCCUUGUGUGAAUGGAGUAGUCAUAUUGGUCCUGCUUCAAGGCUCCCAAGAGGCCAAAACUAAGUUACAACAGAUUUUUACAUUUCAGGAAGGACAUGUGAUCUUUCAAGGAAAAGAAUAAACAGUGCUGCUGUUCACA